UACGUAGGGUGCAAGCGUUAAUCGGAAUUACUGGGCGUAAAGCGUGCGCAGGCGGUUAUGUAAGACAGGUGUGAAAUCCCAGGGCUUAACCUUGGAACUGCAUUUGUGACUGCAUAGCUAGAGUACGGUAGAGGGGGAUGGAAUUCCGCGUGUAGCAGUGAAAUGCGUAGAUAUGCGGAGGAACACCGAUGGCGAAGGCAAUCCCCCUGGACCUGUACUGACGCUCAUGCACGAAAAGCGUGGGGGAGCAAACAGGG
rnacentral:rRNA from 1 species